GCCAGUCUGCAUGGAGCCGACCUUGAAAUACCACCCUUUAAUGUUUGAUGUUCUAACGUUGACCCGUAAUCCGGGUUGCGGACAGUGUCUGGUGGGUAGUUUGACUGGGGCGGUCUCCUCCUAAAGAGUAACGGAGGAGCACGAAGGUUGGCUAAUCCUGGUCGGACAUCAGGAGGUUAGUGCAAUGGCAUAAGCCAGCUUGACUGCGAGCGUGACGGCGCGAGCAGGUGCGAAAGCAGGUCAUAGUGAUCCGGUGGUUCUGAAUGGAAGGGCCAUCGCUCAACGGAUAAAAGGUACUCCGGGGAUAACAGGCUGAUACCGCCCAAGAGUUCAUAUCGACGGCGGUGUUUGGCACCUCGAUGUCGGCUCAUCACAUCCUGGGGCUGAAGUAGGUCCCAAGGGUAUGGCUGUUCGCCAUUUAAAGUGGUACGCGAGCUGGGUUUAGAACGUCGUGAGACAGUUCGGUCCCUAUCUGCCGUGGGCGCUGGAGAAUUGAGGGGGGCUGCUCCUAGUACGAGAGGACCGGAGUGGACGCAUCACUGGUGUUCGGGUUGUCAUGCCAAUGGCACUGCCCGGUAGCUAAAUGCGGAAGAGAUAAGUGCUGAAAGCAUCUAAGCACGAAACUUGCCCCGAGAUGAGUUCUCCCUGACUCCUUGAGAGUCCUGAAGGAACGUUGAAGACGACGACGUUGAUAGGCCGGGUGUGUAAGCGCAGCGAUGCGUUGAGCUAACCGGUACUAAUGAACCGUGAGGCUUAACCUUACAACGCCGAAG
rnacentral:rRNA from 1 species